rnacentral:rRNA from 1 species
UCCAGACUCCUACGGGAGGCAGCAGUGGGGGAUAUUGCACAAUGGGGGGAACCCUGAUGCAGCGACGCCGCGUGGGUGAAGGAGUGCUUCGGCAUGUAAAGCCCUAUCGGCAGGGAAGAAGCAAGACGGUACCUGACUAAGAAGCCCCGGCUAACUACGUGCCAGCAGCCGCGGUAAUACGUAGGGGGCGAGCGUUAUCCGGAUUUACUGGGUGUAAAGGGAGCGCAGGCGGCACGGCAAGCCUGAUGUGAAAGCCCGCGGCCCAACCGCGGGACUGCAUUGGGAACUACCGGGCUGGAGUGCCGGAGAGGUAGGCGGAAUUCCUAGUGUAGCGGUGAAAUGCGUAGAUAUUAGGAGGAACACCAGUGGCGAAGGCGACUAUCUGGCACAUAACUGACGCUGAGGAGCGAAAGCGUGGGUAGCAAACAGGAUUAGAUACCCGAGUA